UCAAAGGCUCCUGUGACCCCUCUAGAGGAUGACUGAUUUCUUUUGGUGUUCAGAGUCAAUAUCAUUUUCUAGCACCAUUUGAAAUCGGUUAUAAUGAUUGGGGAAUAGCGCCACGUGA